rnacentral:tRNA from 1 species
UCGGGGGUAGCUCAGUGGUAGAGCGGGACGCUGUUAACGUCUAGGUCGCUGGUUCGAGCCCAGUCCCCCGAGCCA